AUUGAACGCUGGCGGCAGGCCUAACACAUGCAAGUCGAGCGGAUGAAGGGAGCUUGCUCCUGGAUUCAGCUGCGGACGGGUGAGUAAUGCCUAGGAAUCUGCCUGGUAGUUGGGGAUAACGUCCGGAAACGGGCGCUAAUACCGCAUACGUCCUGAGGGAGAAAGUGGGGGAUCUUCGGACCUCACGCUAUCAGAUGAGCCUAGGUCGUAUUAGCUAGUUGGUGGGGUAAAGGCCUACCAAGGCGACGAUCCGUAACUGGUCUGAGAGGAUGAUCAGUCACACUGGAACUGAGACACGGUCCAGACUCCUACGGGAGGCAGCAGUGGGGAAUAUUGGACAAAGGGCGAAAGCCUGAUCCAGCCAUGCCGCGUGUGUGAAGAAGGUCUUCGGAUUGUAAAGCACUUUAAGUUGGGAGGAAGGGCAGUAAGUUAAUACCUUGCUGUUUUGACGUUACCAACAGAAUAAGCACCGGCUAACUUCGUG
rnacentral:rRNA from 1 species